rnacentral:lncRNA from 1 species
UCAGCAGGAGCAUGGCUCAGCCAACACUUUGAUCUUGGCCUUCCAGCCUCCAGACCGUGAGUCAGUGAGUUUCUGUGGUUUAGGCCCCCCAGUUGUGGUUCUUUCUUACGGCAGCCCCAAGAAACCAAUAUACUACCCCGUCCACUUUCCACGGCAGAGGUUGGGCAUCACUGAAUCCCACCUCCGCAGUAGAUUUUGCUUGGACUGCACAGUAUUUAUUGGUGCUGCUGUUGGUUUUAAUUUAGAAUGUGUGUGCCUGUAGCUGAGCCACUCCUCCUGAUGACUCACCUGGGUCCUGCAGCAUCUGAGAUGCGGUUCCUGCUCCACACUUCCUGGGGGAGCAGAGGAACUCCUCAGCCUCCUCUCAAACUUCUCUCAGGUUGUGCUGCUCACUUCCUCCCCAGGGCUUCCGGUCCACAUGGGCAGCUCUGACCCAGAGAAGAUUCUUUGUCUUAGACAGACAUCUGCCUCCCUGUAACUUCGGUUCACCAGUACUUGCUCUGCACUCCGGGGCCAUACACAACCCCUCUGCUCCCUCUGCUCUUAGCCAUUGGCUCCUAGGAGACACUUGCUUGUCCGGCCAUCGCUUUAAACUGUCUAGUUCCAGCUCCCUCAGAACUUCCUCAGUGACGCCGUUUCCUGAUGGUCAUAUUGCCUGGAUAAGCUCCAGUCUGUUCAACUCCCUCUGUGGUUCAGGAACCAGGACUAAACAGGAGUCACCAGAUGCACAUUCGAACCAGCAUCAAGAGGGCUGAAGCAUCGCCUCCUGCGUUCCAAACUCAACCGGGUCUCGCUUGUUGCCCAGGCUGUAGUGCAGUGGUGCAAUCACGGCUCACUGCAGCCUUGACCUCCUGGAUCAAGGUAUCCUCCCACCUCUCAGCCUCCCAAGCACCUGGGACUACAGGUGCACGCCACCAUGCCCAGCUAAGUUUUGUAUUUAUAGAGACAUGGGUCUCACCGUGUUACCCAGGCUGGUCUUGAACUCCUGGGCUCAAGACAUCUGCCUGCCCUGGCCUUCCAAAGCGUUGGAAUUACAGGCGUGAGCCACUGUGCCAGGCCAGAGCCAACAGGACUUACUGAGAAACUAUGAGAGAGAGAGGGGUCACGGAUGACUCCCCCUGUUCAACCAAGCAACGAGGUGAAUGGUGCUGCUGCUUCCUGAGAUGGGGAAGACUAUAGAGGAAACAAAGCAGGAAUGACAAAUCAGGAAUUUAGCUUUGAAUACACUAGGUUUGAGAAGUCUAGUCUAUACCCAAACAGACCACACUGUGGCAUCUGUGUAGCAGGAUCUGCAGAAUCCAGCAGGAUGGGUGCCAGUGCCAAGCUGAGUAGACAGUUGGGUCUGUGAGUCUAAAGCUCAGGGUAGACCUCAGGGUCUGGGAUACAAAUCUGGAGAUCAUCAGCCUGUCCAUGAAAGCCAGGGGAAUGAUGGAACAUACUAUGAGAAAAAGAGAAGAGAGGAAAGAGAAGAGGUCCAUGGAAGGAGACCUGGGAGAAUCCAACCUUCGAUUAGAUCAGGAAGAGGAGAAUCCAGCAAAAAAUGCUGAGAAGUCUCUGGAAAGGAAGUCUUCCUUCCUUCCCCUGCACCGGGAGAAGUGCUAUCCCAGAAAUCAGUAAAGAAAAGUGUUUGAUGGGGAGAGCAGGAUCACCUUUGUCAACUGCUGCUGCGAGACUUGGGAAAAUGAGGACUGGAAAGAGAGCAAUAGAAACUUGAAAAGCCAUUGGUUAUCUUGACAAGAGUUUCUGUGGGGGUGGUGAGAAUUGGAGCCUGAUUGGAUGGGUUCAAGAGAGAAUGGGGAGUUCUAGCCAAGAAGGCUGAGAGGAUGAGUCAAAUUAAAAACGUUUUCUUUUUAUGAGUCCUCUCAUAUUUACUGAUAUAUUGGGUUUCCAUUCUGCCACAUUACUUUAUAUUAAUCAUGUAUUAUAUCUGCUGUGUUUCUUUCUCUGUGCAAUGUAUUUUUUUACUUUAAAAAUUGUAUUUAUAAAGGUUUGUAA